AAGUCGUAACAAGGUUUCCGUAGGUGAACCUGCGGAAAAUUUGAAAUACAACUUUCAACAACGGAUCUCUUGGCUCUC
rnacentral:misc_RNA from 1 species